rnacentral:rRNA from 1 species
UAAGGAAUAUUGGUCAAUGGACGCAAGUCUGAACCAGCCAUGCCGCGUGAGGGAUUAAGGCCCUCUGGGUUGUAAACUUCUUUUAUAGGGGAAGAAAUGUGACGGUUCUCCGUCACUUGACGGUACCCUGGGAAUAAGCACCGGCUAACUCCGUGCCAGCAGCCGCGGUAAUACGGAGGGUGCAAGCGUUAUCCGGAUUCACUGGGUUUAAAGGGUGCGUAGGUGGGCAGAUAAGUCAGUGGUGAAAUCUUCCGGCUUAACCGGGAAACUGCCGUUGAUACUAUUUGUCUUGAAUAUUGCGGAGGUAAGCGGAAUAUGUCAUGUAGCGGUGAAAUGCUUAGAUAUGACAUAGAACACCGAAAGCGAAGGCAGCUCACUAUACUUAAAUUGACGCUCAUGGACGAAAGCGUGGGGAGCAAACA